GACGAACGCUGGCGGCGUGCCUAACACAUGCAAGUCGAACGGUCCGGCACUCAACCGACCCUCAGUCUAGCUGUAGGUGAGGUUAAGUGCCGGAUAGUGGCGGACGGGUGAGUAACGCGUGGGCAACCAACCCUGUACAGUGGGAUAACACCGGGAAACCGGUGCUAAUACCGCAUGACACCUAGAUGGUGCAUACUGUUUAGGUUAAAGGGCAAAACCGGUACGGGACGGGCCCGCGUCCCAUUAGCUGGUUGGUGAGGUAACGGCUCACCAAGGCGACGAUGGGUAGCCGACCUGAGAGGGUGACCGGCCACACUGGGACUGAGACACGGCCCAGACUCCUACGGGAGGCAGCAGUGGGGAAUAUUGCGCAAUGGACGGAAGUCUGACGCAGCGACGCCGCGUGAGCGACGAAGGCCUUCGGGUCGUAAAGCUCUGUUCUUGGGGACGAAGGAAAUGACGGUACCCAAGGAGAAAGCCCCGGCUAACUACGUGCCAGCAGCCGCGGUAACAUACUCGUA
rnacentral:rRNA from 1 species